AACGCACAUUGCGCCCAUUGGUAUUCCGAUGGGCAUGCCUGUUCGAGCGUCAUUAUCCUCCCUCAAACCUCGUGUUUGGUGUUGGGCCGGAAGGGGAUGUCUUCAUCACCCUUUGGCCCCAAAGACAAUGACGGCGUCCGGUGGGACCCUCGGUGCAACGAGCUUCUUCGGAGCACGCACUGCGGUUUUUGUCCCCUCCGGGCUGGUCUCAACCCUUUAUUAUUUUACCAGGUUGACCUCGGAUCAGGUAGGAAUACCCGCUGAACUUAA
rnacentral:misc_RNA from 1 species